GCGGGUGUAGCUCAGUUGGCAGAGUACAAGCUUCCCAAGCUUGGGGUCACGGGUUCGAACCCCGUUACCCGCUCCA
rnacentral:tRNA from 3 species